UACAGAGGUCUCAAGCGUUGUUCGGAUUCAUUGGGCGUAAAGGGUGCGUAGGCGGCGCGGUAAGUCGGGUGUGAAAUCUUGGAGCUUAACUCCGAAACUGCAUUCGAUACUGCCGUGCUUGAGGACUGGAGAGGAGACUGGAAUUUACGGUGUAGCGGUGAAAUGCGUAGAUAUCGUAAGGAAGACCAGUGGCGAAGGCGGGUCUCUGGACAGUUACUGACGCUGAGGCACGAAGGUGAGGGGAGCAAACGGG
rnacentral:rRNA from 1 species